UACGUAGGGUGCGAGCGUUGUCCGGAUUUACUGGGCGUAAAGAGCUCGUAGGCGGUUUGUCACGUCGUCUGUGAAAACCCGAGGCUUAACCUCGGGCCUGCAGGCGAUACGGGCAGACUUGAGUACUGUAGGGGAGACUGGAAUUCCUGGUGUAGCGGUGGAAUGCGCAGAUAUCAGGAGGAACACCGGUGGCGAAGGCGGGUCUCUGGACAGUAACUGACGCUGAGGAGCGAAAGCGUGGGUAGCGAACAGG
rnacentral:rRNA from 1 species